UGAAUACUCAGGUAUUAGAAUUCAAGCAUUUCACCUCCAAUUUCAAAAAGUGACAGUGAUAAGGAGAAAGGCUUGGGGACUUGAACUGGACAUAGCUUUUCACAGAAAGGCUCUAAAUUAAUCAAAGCAUGAGUAUCAGCCAUUUGACGUUCUCUCUCUUAACAGACAUUUCAAAGAUUGCACAUGACACUUCUUAGAAAUGUAUGCGGCCCAGAACAUUUGGUAAACUGCCUUUGUAUUAUACCAUUUUCAACCACUUUAAAAAUAACACAAAUUUUUGCACAGUUAGAACAUAAAAUUAUUGUAUAGGAAGCAGAUUUCAAAACGAAAUACACAACAUUUUUCAAAUAAUGUUUAAAAACACUGGUUGUACUUCACACUGAACAAUUGCUGGUAAGCAAUCAUUUUUUGAGUAUUAAAAAAUAUAAUUCUCUAGGAUUCUUAAUUCAAGCCAAGCACAUCAAUGAAAAUGCUCUUUUCACUAUGAAUAUAUCAAUCAAUGUAAAAGUAUAACUUGAUUAUAUAUGAAUAUGCUGUUUUCAUCUUUUCUAAGAACUUGGAGCUAGAAACUCUUAAAUAUUUAAAUAAACAGGAGAAAUAAAACUGGUGGCACAAUGUAUAUAAUUUAGUAAUGAUGAAAAAUAUUCUCAGCCAAAUUAAUUCAUUUUUGGCUAUUAAUAUUGAAUAUUAUUAAUUUCACUCCAAUUUAUCAUUGAUAAAUAGAAAUUUCCCUUAAUGGUAAAAAUCCUUUUUUGUAAUUAAACCUAAUUUUAUAGAAAGGAGCAAAGUAUGUUUGAGUUAGAUACAGGGAUGUAGAUUUUCACUCAAUCUGUAGAAUAAGAUAUAAAACAUAAGCUAAGAAUUGAAGAGGCAACUUCAUGAAGAAUUAAAUUACCUUAAUGAGAGGGCUAAAUCAGUGUUCCCUCUACCCUCAUUCAGAGAAAGUUAGGACUGGAUGCUCUCUAAGAGAAUUUGCAUCUCUUUCAACAUAUUUAGGAAAAUCACUUACUGUGUAGUCUCACUCUUGAUUCUCUGAAUCUCCCCUCUGUCUCAAAAUGAAAAGAAGAUUAUUAUUCUUUUCUUUGAAAUAGACAAUAGACAUGUCUACAUCAUAUCACAUAUGAAGUACAUACUUCACUCUGGUCUCUCUUCAGUUGAAAUUUGCUAUUGCUCCACUGAAGGAAAAUUUGUUGCAAACCAUCUACAUUGAGUAUACACUGAAGAGUGCAGCCCCAGAAAGUAGACCACCUAAGUAGCAACCUUUGUUCAGCCACAAACUUCCUGUGGAACACUGGUCAAGAUGGAGUUGCACUCUAUCACCAGGCUGGUGUGCAA